rnacentral:sRNA from 1 species
CGGCUCUCAGCUUCUUUCUCCUGCUGUCGUGCUCCGCCCAUGAUGGAUUCUAAUUUCUCCAGAACAGCUGCACAGCACACACUGGCUCUGUGAAAGAUAGAUGACCUCACGGAGGAGGCUUCCAGAUGAGCCUCAUCUAAUCAUCUGGAAAAAAAGAAAAAAAGACUGAAGCUAGAUGUGGUGACACAUGUUGCCCACUGGUACUUCGGAGCCUGAAGCAUGUGGACCAUUUGUUCAAGAUCAGCUCAGAAGCUAAGAAUGAUACAAUGGGCCAGAAUGCAGAGAGUAAGUACCACAGAGUACUCAGCCAUACGUAGGAAAUCUAUAACACACCCCGCCCCCAAAGGCUUGGGGACCAUAGCUGAAGAGGGAGCAGAAAGACUGUA